AGUCUUCUUCAGUCAAUCACAGAGUGGAUCAGCAUGGAUGCUUCCCCUGUCGUUGGAACUUCAAUAUCGUCUGCUUUUUACAACAAAUAAGGUUCUUAUUAUAAUUAAAAACCAAGUUAAUUAACUACUUCAAAUCCUUUUCAAACCUUGAAAGCUUACACUAUUUCUUUUAAAAGAUUCAACGCUAAACAUCUAGAUUUCACAGAAGCAUCCAACUAAUUACAGGAGUGAAGACUGAAGAGACACUAUAUGGUGAAUACUUUCCACAAAUGGAACAUGUAAGCCGAAUCCUAAAUGAGAAAUAGACAUACGCCUAGUGUCAGGACCAAAUAUGGAGUUUAUGUCUUGAAACUGAACAAAGGCGUACCUGGCAGAUGAGAAAUAAUAUUUUCCAAGAUUCCAGCACCUGAACUCUCUUUCUUCUUCUCAUGAUCUUCAUCUUCACAUUCAGAUUUUGGCAUGUUUUCACC
rnacentral:lncRNA from 1 species